GACGAACGCUGGCGGUGUGCUUAACACAUGCAAGUCGAACGGUAAGGCCCUUUCGGGGGUACACGAGUGGCGAACGGGUGAGUAACACGUGAGUAACCUGCCCUCAUCUCUGGGAUAACAGUCGGAAACGGUUGCUAAUACUGGAUAUGAGCUUGCAAGGCAUCUUGUGGGUUGGAAAGAUUUUUUUUGGUUGGGGAUGGACUCGCGGCCUAUCAGCUUGUUGGUGAGGUAGUGGCUCACCAAGGCUUUGACGGGUAGCCGGCCUGAGAGGGCGACCGGCCACAUUGGGACUGAGAUACGGCCCAAACUCCUACGGGAGGCAGCAGUGGGGAAUAUUGCACAAUGGACGGAAGUCUGAUGCAGCAACGCCGCGUGCGGGAUGACGGCCUUCGGGUUGUAAACCGCUUUCAAUUGUGACGAAGCUUUUUUGUGACGGUAGCAGUAGAAGAAGCACCGGCUAACUACGUG
rnacentral:rRNA from 1 species